rnacentral:rRNA from 1 species
AUUUUGGGCAAUUGGGGCAACCCUGAUCCAGCCAUCCCGCGUGUGCGAUGAAGGCAUUCGGGUUGUAAAGCUCUUUCACCCGCGAAGAUGAUGACGGUAGCGGGAGAAGAAACACCGGCUAACUCCGUUCCAGCAGUCGCGGUAAUACGGAGGGGGCUAGCGUUGUUCGGAUUUACUGGGCGUAAAGGGCGCGUAGGCGGAUGUUCGCGUCAGAGGUGAAAGCCCCGGGCUCAACCUGGGAACUGCCUUUGAAACGGGACAUCUUGAGUUCGGGAGAGGGUAGAGGAAUUCCCAGUGUAGAGGUGAAAUUCGUAAAUAUUGGGAAGAACACCGGUGGCGAAGGCGGCUACCUGGCCCGAUACUGACGAUGAGGCGAGAAAGCGUGGGGAGCAAAC